rnacentral:rRNA from 1 species
CCUACGGGAGGCAGCAGUGGGGAAUCUUGCGCAAUGGGCGAAAGCCUGACGCAGCCAUGCCGCGUGAAUGAUGAAGGUCUUAGGAUUGUAAAAUUCUUUCACCGAGGACGAUAAUGACGGUACUCGGAGAAGAAGCCCCGGCUAACUUCGUGCCAGCAGCCGCGGUAAUACGAAGGGGGCUAGCGUUGCUCGGAAUUACUGGGCGUAAAGGGAGCGUAGGCGGAUAGUUUAGUCAGAGGUGAAAGCCCAGGGCUCAACCUUGGAAUUGCCUUUGAUACUGGCUAUCUUGAGUACGGAAGAGGUAUGUGGAACUCCGAGUGUAGAGGUGAAAUUCGUAGAUAUUCGGAAGAACACCAGUGGCGAAGGCGACAUACUGGUCCGUUACUGACGCUGAGGCUCGAAAGCGUGGGGAGCAAACAGGAUUAGAUACCCUGGUAGUCCACGCUGUAAACGAUGAGUGCUAGUUGUCGGCAUGCAUGCAUGUCGGUGACGCAGCUAACGCAUUAAGCACUCCGCCUGGGGAGUACGGUCGCAAGNUUAAAACUCAAAGUAGAGUGACGCGUGAGAGNGACGAGGCACACGAGGUUAG